GUGGCUUUACUGAAGUGAUGAUAAAAAGAAAAGAUUUGAGUGAUUCAUGGCCUCUAGAAUUAGAUGAUAUGCACUUUGAACUACAGCAUUUCUUGUUGGGCUUAGAAGGAGAUUGCAAAAGCCAAUCGUGGUUUUGAACAACUUUAAAAUGUGGCCGGAGAUAUUGACUGUACUACUAAUGGAUAAAUAUAAAAUAAACUACAAUGAAGCAGUAGAAAUAUUUAAAAAGAAAGAAUUACCAAAAUGAAACUUCUAAAUAAUUAAAAGAAGGAUGAAAUGUUACUUUUGUAAAUCAAGGCUUUUUUCUUAUGAUUUGAUUCUAAUUAUUAGUA